GAUGAAGAACGUAGCGAAAUGCGAUAAGUAGUGUGAAUUGCAGAAUUCAGUGAAUCAUCGAAUCUUUGAACGCACAUUGCGCCCGCCAGUAUUCUGGCGGGCAUGCCUGUUCGAGCGUCAUUUCAACCAUCGAGCCCUGCUUGCGUUGUGGUCCUGCGGCUGCCCGCAGGCCCUGAAAACCAGUGGCGGGCUCGCUAGUCACACCGAGCGCAGUAAUACAUCUCGCUUUGGGCGUGCGGCGGGUUCUUGCCGUUAAACACCCCCUUUUUACCAAGGUUGACCUCGGAUCAGGUAGGAAUACCCGCUGAACUUAAGCAUAUCAAUAAGCGGAGGA
rnacentral:misc_RNA from 1 species